rnacentral:rRNA from 1 species
AUUUAAAGAAAGCGUAAUAGCUCACUGGUCGAGUCGGCCUGCGCGGAAGAUGUAACGGGGCUAAACCAUGCACCGAAGCUGCGGCAGCGACGCUUAUGCGUUGUUGGGUAGGGGAGCGUUCUGUAAGCCUGUGAAGGUGUGCUGUGAGGCAUGCUGGAGGUAUCAGAAGUGCGAAUGCUGACAUAAGUAACGAUAAAGCGGGUGAAAAGCCCGCUCGCCGGAAGACCAAGGGUUCCUGUCCAACGUUAAUCGGGGCAGGGUGAGUCGACCCCUAAGGCGAGGCCGAAAGGCGUAGUCGAUGGGAAACAGGUUAAUAUUCCUGUACUUGGUGUUACUGCGAAGGGGGGACGGAGAAGGCUAUGUUGGCCGGGCGACGGUUGUCCCGGUUUAAGCGUGUAGGCUGGUUUUCCAGGCAAAUCCGGAAAAUCAAGGCUGAGGCGUGAUGACGAGGCACUACGGUGCUGAAGCAACAAAUGCCCUGCUUCCAGGAAAAGCCUCUAAGCAUCAGGUAACAUCAAAUCGUACCCCAAACCGACACAGGUGGUCAGGUAGAGAAUACCAAGGCGCUUGAGAGAACUCGGGUGAAGGAACUAGGCAAAAUGGUGCCGUAACUUCGGGAGAAGG